AUGUUCCUCACCGGUGUUAAAUAUAAAAAUGUUUAUUAGAGUACAACGGUUGUUUCACAUGAUAUUAGAGCAGGAGGACCUGAUCAGUUCGAGUCACGCCAGGCUCCUAACAUAUUAAUUUCCUCCUAUUUAAUUCAAGUCCACGUUAUGGGCCGACUAAAAAGUCUCGAGUCCAGACGUGAGGCGAAAUGUUAAAUAUAAAAAUGUUAAACAACGUUCUCUAACGGCUUAAGUUUUUGGAGUAUAACGGUUGUUUCACAACCGGACCACCGCAUCCUUAUCGGCGAACGCAUCUCCACACCGCAUGCCUCGAUCUGUGCAGAUUUUCUUUCAAGCAUCGCUAUUGUUCAAUGAUCCUGUUCUGUCAAACUUCAACCCAAACUAGCGAUGGAAACCUUGGGCUUCGGCUCGUGCGUGAGGACCUCGAUCGAGAUCAUUUUUCAGGAAUCGAACCCGACCGCAUCAUUUCCUCACCAGUCCGUACUUGAGAUAUAGUUAGAUCUGGCCUCUAUAAAGAGGAACACUAUAAGAUGGGUGAACCAUAUCAUGCCACAUGACCAAUGAUCGACGCAUUAAACCUGAUCUAUGGCUUGUGAACUUUAUAGAAGCCAAAUUUCAUAUUUUCAGUAUUAUUUAGCGACAAUUUAAGUGGUUUCAAAAUUCAAAAUUUUCGACCAAUCGUCGAUUCGAAUACCCCAUUGUCGAGAACAACAUGAAUAACACUAUAAUUUGGAACAAAACAAGAGGA
rnacentral:lncRNA from 1 species